GCUUCCCUCUCUCUUCCGGCUUCCUCCCUGCACGUCGUGGGGCAGCAGGACUGUAGCACUCCCGUUGCUGGCGACCGGCAAACGGGUGCGGAACACGUACGCAACUUACCCUGAACUGGGGGAUAGCCCGGGGAAACCCGGAUUAAUACCCCGUAAUAUAAUGGAGUGGCAUCACUUUAUUAUUAAAGCUCCGGCGGUUCGGGUUGGGCGUUCGGCUGAUUAGGUAGUUGGUUGAGGUAACGGCUCACCAAGCCUACGAUCAGUAACUGGUGUGAGAGCACGACCAGUAACACGGGCACUGAGACACGGGCCCGACUCCUACGGGAGGCAGCAGUAAGGAAUAUUGGGCAAUGGAGGCAACUCUGACCCAGCCAUGCCGCGUGGAGGAGGAAGGCCCUCUGGGUGGUAAACGUCUUUUAUAGGGGACGAAACCUGUGUAUUCUUACGCAGUUGACGGUACCCUAGGAAUAAGCACCGGCUAACUCCGUG
rnacentral:rRNA from 1 species